rnacentral:rRNA from 1 species
AUGUUGGGCCGCAUGAAGUGCCUCGUCGGCGGCGCCGUCGACCAGGGCAGCCCGCGCGGAGCCGCCAGGAGGGUCUCGCCGGCGUCCGGCCGCGUGCACAACGCCGCAGCCGCCGCCGCGGGGCCGGGGGACAAGAGGGCCAUCUGCUUCCGCCCGCCGGACGUCAUGGAGACGGUGCACGAGGUGGCCGUCUACAUCCACCGCUUCCACAACCUCGAUCUCUUCCAGCAAGGAUGGUACCAGAUGAAGAUUAGUGCAAUGUGGGAGGAGGGUGAAAGCGGUAGCAAGACACCAGCUUCACCCGCAAGGGUGGUCCAGUACGAAGCUCCUGAUGUCGGUGCGGACGAUGCUUUAGGCAUAUGGAGAAUAGAUGACGCUGAUAACAGCUUCUACACACAGCCAUUCAGAAUCAAGUAUGCUCGACAAGACAUCUAUCUAUCGGUUAUGGUGUCUUUCAACAUACUCAAUGGUGAACAAGAGGGUCCAGCAGCUUCUGCUGUGAUAUUGAAGUACGAGUUAAUAUAUGCCCCAACACUGGAAAAUGGAUCUGAUAUCCAAUCUUCUAGCGCUACAUCUUCAGCUGCUGUACAUGAAUUUAGGAUCCCACGCAAAGCACUCCUGGGCUUACAUUCAUAUUGUCCAGUUCACUUCGAUGCAUUCCACGCGGUGCUUGUGGAUCUGACAUUACAUAUCGUGUACCUGAAAGCUGGUGCAAAUAAAUCAUCAUUGAAGAUACCAGAUCAAGGUUUACGCCCAACAUCACAUCACAUAAUCAAGGCAUUAUUGGCUUCGAGGGAAAUGUUACUUGAAGAAUUGAAGAAAAUCAGUGGUGCUGUUGGCAAAACAAUAGAAGAUUUAGAUGAUGCUGACUUAAGUCUUGGUAAAUAUGAGUCACUUCAGUCUUCAAAACCCGUCCAUCCCGAUUCUGGUAAAGUUUUCCCUGUAACUACCAAGGGUGUUGGGCAUUUGGCUGGCAUUUUACAUGACUUUCUGGAGAGACCCAACGAUGUUUUUGAUGGCACUAGUGAUGGUAUGCUGUAUACUCUUUCCAGUGAAGAGUUGUUAGAAUUGUUUGUAACCGUGAGCAGCCAACUUUCACUUCUAUGGAAUGCAUUCUUGAAAUUUCAUAGGACAAAUAAAACUAAGAUACUGGAUUACUUGCGGGACAUUUGGGCCGUUGACAGGAAAGCAGAAUGGUCAAUCUGGACUAAUCACUCUAAAAUCGAGAUUCCACACCGCUAUUUGCGGAGUAUGAGUGAUGACCCACCUCACCGCCAACACUCCCUCCUGAGAGUUUCUGGUUCAAGGAAGUUUCAUGAAGAUCCUGUACAAAAUUCUGCUUCACGGGCUGAGCUACACAGGAAGAGCAUAGCCCAAAUGAAGAUCAACACGAGGUCUGUUCAAGAUAUGCAUAUAUAUGCUGAUCCUUCGCGUGUACCUGUUGUUCUUAUAGAACAACAUGUCAUGGUUGUUCCACAACAUGGUUCAAACAAGGAUUUGGCAUCAAGUUCUUCAGAACAGAAGGAUACUAUUGUGCUACCUAAACUACAAGGAGAGUCUUUGGCGCUGAAAAAUAUCAAUGGUAAAAAAGGUGGACGCGUACUACGAGCUGUCAUCUUUGUGCAUGGAUUUCAGGGACACCAUUUGGAUUUACGUCUUGUUAGAAAUCAAUGGCUUCUAUUGGAUCCUGGAGCUGAAUGCCUAAUGUCUGAGGCUAAUGAAGACAAGACUUCUGGAGAUUUUAAAGAAAUGGGUGGCAGGCUUGCUGGGGAGGCUGUUGCAUUCUUGAAAAAGAAAGUGGAUAAGCUUGCAAGACAUGGAGGCUGCAAAGAAUUGAAGCUUAGUUUUGUUGGCCAUUCCAUUGGAAACAUUAUCAUCAGAACUGCCUUAGCAGAACCUGCAUUGCAGCCAUACUUGAAGAACCUCUACACAUACAUGUCGAUAUCAGGGCCUCACUUAGGUUACUGGUACAGCUCAAAUUCUUUGUUCAAUUCUGGUCUCUGGCUUCUAAAAAAGCUUAAGGGGGCACAAUGCAUCCAUCAACUUACUUUCAGUGACGAUCAAGACCCCCAGAAUACCUUUUUUUAUAGGCUUUGCAAGUCGAAGACACUAGAGAACUUCAAAAAUAUCAUAUUGUUAUCGUCACCACAGGAUGGGUAUGUACCAUAUCAUUCAGCAAGAAUCGAGCUCUGCCCAGCUGCGUCGGCUGAUAAUUCAAGGAAAGGUCAAGUCUUCACAGAAAUGCUGAAUAAUUGCUUGGAUCAGAUGCGUGCACCGUCGUCUGAAACUCGUAUAUUCAUGAGGUGUGAUGUUAAUUUCGACCAAUCUGCCCAUGGACGGAACCUGAACACCAUGAUCGGCAGAGCAGCCCACAUAGAAUUCCUGGAGACUGACAUCUACGCCAGGUUCAUCAUGUGGUCCUUCCCUGAACUUUUCCGAUGA